GCCACAGAUAGACUUAAAGGAAGAACGCCCAUAUUGCCACACUGGGGAAGGCUUUGGGGCAUUUUUCUGCCCCCACAGGGCCAAGGAUGACACCGCCCCCUGUGGGCUGGGCCCACCCACGUCAAUCAUUAAUCAAGAAAAGGUGCUAUGGACUUGCCUACAGGCAACCUGAUAGACGUUCUUCUUCCAAGCGUCUGCCUGUGCCCAGGCUCCUGACAAGUGUCUGCGAUGCUUACCCCUGUGAAACGUGGAUCCUGAGAUUACAGCUGAAGCAGAGAGAGGCAAUCCUAACCGUAAAGAAGAGGAAACAGACGGAUGUGAGAAAGAUCCUAGGCUGUAUUUACCAGUGCUCCAAU
rnacentral:lncRNA from 1 species